AUGCAAACUGCGAAUACCGGAGAAUGUUAUCACGGGAGACACACGGCGGGUGCUAACGUCCGUCGUGAAGAGGGAAACAACCCAGACCGCCAGCUAAGGUCCCAAAGUCAUGGUUAAGUGGGAAACGAUGUGGGAAGGCCCAGACAGCCAGGAUGUUGGCUUAGAAGCAGCCAUCAUUUAAAGAAAGCGUAAUAGCUCACUGGUCGAGUCGGCCUGCGCGGAAGAUGUAACGGGGCUAAACCAUGCACCGAAGCUGCGGCAGCGA
rnacentral:rRNA from 1 species